GUUUGUUUUACUCCCCACUCAGUGCCUCCUUCUCUUCUUCUCCUUGCUACAAGGGCCACCAGUAAAAACGGGAGAUGGGGCUGAGUCCUGUGAAAGUACAUAUCCAUCACUUGCAGCGCUUUUCUUGGAGACUCAAAUUAGCACCUCACCAAGUUCUUAGGACCUUCUUACCAGGUGUGUGUUUUCCCCAUAAAACCAGCUGCCUCAGACCCAAAGCCACUGCUGCGGACCUGUCCUCCACCUGGUCCUACCAGUGAAGGCUCAGGGAAUACCCAGGAGGCUUCCUCCUACAGCUUCUGCAGCAACACUGCCAGAGAGGUGGUGAGCUGCUCAUCUGUGGGGGCAUUCAACAAAGACUGCACGGCCAACAGCAGGAGCACUAUACAGAAAACACCUUCUCUGGAUGGGAAAUUAGCCUGGAGAACCUCAUCCUGGUGUUAUAAUUGCACGGGCAUCUGGCAGCUUCUCAAGGAGCAAGCAUGGGCGUCGGCUCUUCUCAUUUCUCCCCAGGAUGUAGGCAGGCCAGCUGUGCACACUCCAGCAGAGCGGUUGAAGUUCCAUCGAGUCUUGAGGCUCAGUGCCAGGGGUCUUACUUUUUAACAGAAACUGCAGCGAGGCCGGCAGGAGGACGGGUGCACGGCUGCGGCCCCAACAGUGGGCUCCUGUGUGCCGACUGCAUUCAGCGCAGCUCCACACGCGGGGGUAAAUCCACGGGCUCUGCGGUUGCCUGGCCACAGGGACCAUAAAUUGUGACACUUGCGGUCAUGGAAGUGCCGAGUGAUAAAAACUCGACGUCACAAAGUGUCCUUAACCUGCUGCUGCCUCAUCUUUCUCAUUUGUGACUUGGUUAAAGAAAAUUUUUUUGUAACAGUUUCAGGCUCUUCUUUUUCGUUUCCUCAGUCUGCUGCAGAACCCCUUCAGUCAGGGAGGGAAAAGCAACCAAGCCAAUCUGGUCUCCUUGUUGGCACCUCUGUGAGGCCAGCUGGCUAGAGGGAGGGGGCCCGAUGGCGGAGGGAGAGGGCGAUGCUGGGGUCCCAGCAGCCCCCAAAGCAGGCGGGGCCCUCUCCUCGAAGAAGCUCACCUUUAACCUCCAAGCCCAGCCGACAGGCCCCCUGAUUGUGCAGUAGAUUACAAAUCGCACAAGAACCCAGAGCAGACAACAGACACAGGAGAAACACAGCCCUUGCCCCCAAAUCUGCGCUCCAUGAACCAGCUAUUUGGGGCCCAGAAGCUCCCAGGAACUGAAGUCUGAAGGUGGUGAGAAUCCAGGCAUGAGGCCAAGUCUGAGCUCCACUGGCUACUGGCCCGGGGACUUUGGGCAAGUCAUUUCUCUCUGAGCCUCAGUUUCCCCAGUUUGGAGAGAGUGGUGGCGGUAAACAAUAGCCCCAGCCUCACAAGGCCAAGCCGGGCAGGAGAUGCGCUAGAGUGCUCUGGCUCUGGCACAGGGUCUGCCCCCCCCGCCCUCCCCCCAGUCCCUGCAACUCACCAAGGAGGGGCUCCUCCGGUGGGGAAAGUGGCACAGGGGCAGAGAGACCAGAACCCCGCUCCCCACCCUUUUCCCGGGCAGCAUGGGAGACUGGUACCUUUGGGAGAGGUGCUCAGAGCUACAGGGUUGCGGCACUCCAAACGGGAGGGUCUGGCUUCACGGCUACCCCAGCUGGUUCAGGGACAGGCCUCCUCCCUUCAUCGGCAGAGCCCAGUGGGCACGGCAGCCCUCGAGAAUAACCCAGCCCAGAAACGGCCAAAGAGCCAGGGAAGGGGCCCCGCCUCUCACUCUGCUACCAGCUUCCAGGCGGUUCCCUUUCGCUGGACCGGGGCAUCCUCGCAGCCCAGUCCUGGACCCAGCUCUGCGUCCCUGACCUGCCACAGCUGGAAAAAAGAAAAAGAGAUAUUUGUUUUUAUUUAAUUUGUUUAUAAAAAGAAAAGUGUUUGUUACAGAAAAUUUGGAAAUACAGAAAAGCACAAAAAAGAAAACAAAAAUUACCCGUGAGAUAACUACCAGGUAUGUUUUCUUGAAGUCCUUCUGGUAUCUUUCCCAAACCAUAUACUAUAUGUACUAGACAUGUCUGUAUGAUCAUACUAUAGGUUAUUUCAGAUCCUUUUCGCUUAAUAUGUUGUGAGUAUUUUGUGUCAUUAAGUAUUAUUCUCUAUGGGAUUUGAAAAAUAAAAUCUAAAUAUCAACUAAUUUUUUAAAUCAACUUCACUGAGGUGUAAUUUCCAUGAAGAUCUCUUUCACUUGUGCUGUUCGACGAGUUUUGACACAUGCAUACCCCCAUGUAACCAGCACCACAAUCAAGAAAAAAAAUACGAUCACCACAAAAUGUCCCCUAGUCCCCCUUGCAGGCGGGCCCUACCUCCCAGGUCCCAGGCAGACACCCAUCUGAAUCCUACCACUGUAGAUUAGUUUUACCUUUAUUUAAUUUAACAUAAGCGGGAUCAGAGAGUAGGAUCUCUUGCUCAGCAUAACUGACACUCAUGGACGUCGCUGAGUCUCUCACCAGCCCACGCCUUAUUGUUUUACGGUAUCCCAUCGUAUGGCGCCCACAGUCUGUUUACCCACUCAUCUGUGGGUGGACAGUUGGGUUAUUUCUGAUGUUCUGGCUAUUGCGAACAGAACUUUGUGAAUGCUUUAAAUUUUUAACGAGCUGUGUCACUGGCACAGGUUGAGGUAGACCCACCGUGUGGGCGUGGUCCGUGUGUUUCCUGCCUGGAGCAUCGCGCUGAGUUCAUCCUGGGUGGGUUAUCACUUUUGCCACUGUUGUCAGACAUGUUGUCCCGUUGAAGUGUUUGCUACUGUAAAUCAUGCUGCUGGGAACAGCUUUAUCCUGACACUUCUACGUACGGCUGUGUUGCUUUCCUGAGGGUAAAUUCCCAUAAGCGUGUUAGGUCAAAGGGUGUCCAUGCAUUUAAGGUCCUUGACGCACCAGGUCAGGACUUCUAGGCAUGUUCCUAUCCAGAUUCCCCCCAUUUGCUUCUCAUAAGAAGGACAGGCAUCGUGACCCCCAUCGUUCAGAUGGGAAAACUGAGGCCUACAGAGAAGGAGUUGCCAGCAAGGAGUCACACAGCUGGUUAGGGGCCGAGCUGGGAGGAAACCCCCACCUCGAAGUCUCGCACUCUUCCAAGACGACUUACUGCCUCACUCUCACGCAUCUGCCUCUAUCAGAAGCGCUUGGAAUUUUCCCACAAAGAUUUCCAUGAAAAUCAGAUUGUGGGCUGAGGGAUGAAAGGCAGCCUCAUGUUAAUUAGUCUGGCUUUGGUUUGGUUCAUCCACCGAGCUUGAGCGUGUGUGACGAUCUCUGUGUCUUUAUACACACGCACACUGGCACUCUCACACACACCAACACCAGUGGCGGCCCAUCCAGAUGAUCUGGUCCAGAUUCUCCUUCUAACCCGCCUUCAGAGUCGGGAGCCACAGGGUCUCCUGACUUUACAGUUGCGAUACAUUCUGACCCAGGACAGGGGGCCCUGGCUUGGCAACCACGCACCUACUCAGCAGACUUGGCCCAAAGGACGUCUGGUUAUUUCCCCAAAUCUAAUCUCCCCUGGGGGACAAAGAUCAGGCUGUUGGGGGGAUUCAAAGGAACAAUCCUGAGACAGCCGGAUCCCUGGCACUCAACGGGGCCCAGCAGAGGACGGGGGAAGUGGAGGUGCUCCUUGGAGUAUAGGCAUCCCACAUACUUGUAGAGGGCUCUCAGGCCACUCUAGGGAUGUGGGAACAGCUCAGCACUAAAACUAAGACAAAGUUUGAUCCGUUCAGUCAUUAACUGGCUCCUACAUAUCUAAGACACCCGUUAUCUUAUUUAAUCCUCAAUGACCAAAUAUUGUUAUCCCCAUCUUACAGACGAGACACCUAAGGUUCAGCGAGGUUAAGAAACUUGCCUGAAGUCACACAGCAGUGGGCACUCAGUCUCAGCAUGACUGCUCUUUGUAGACAUCAGGCCCCAGCCUCUCUUCUGAGUUAGAAAGGUCUCUGCCCCUGGGUGUGGCUGGCAGACCCCAAGGCGCACACAUUCGUCUGAAGCUAGCUCACCUAGAGCCCAAGAUGAUUUGUAAUUGCUUGGAGGAUACAAAUGGUCCAGACUCUCCCUCCCCCUGACUCAAUCCUGAGGAGCUUCCUUCCUGGAACCAACCUCAGGGCUCAGGUCCCUGCGGGACUUCCUUCCUGGGACCACACCCCAGGCCCACCCCACUACUGAAUAGACCCAUUAAUGCCCUGUUCCUGCCCCCAUUUAAGGUGAGUGUUGCUCGCUGAGUGGGGACAAAGAAUCACCUCCUCUCAGCCUGGGGUCCAAGGCCUCCCUGUUCUCGAAGCCAGCAGGUCUAAGGAGGCCUUGUCCACGGGGGAAGAAACCAGGAAAGGAAGAGCCCAUUCUCUCAGAAAACAUGUGUUUUCUGUUUACAGAGGGGCCUGUCCAGUUCCCAUGCUUUGUUCUUUAAUAUGGAGCCAAAAACAAAAAAAUUCAAAUUUGCAGCUUCCUCCCCGAGGUACAUACAUAUGGAGGCUGGAAAAUCUGGAUUGCUGUGGGCACCCUGUGCUGGGCCUCGUGUCUGGUCUGCCGCCAAUGUCCAGCAUCACUCGGCCUUUUAUACCAACCUGGAAAGCCACGUGGAUAGCCAAAAUGCCCGUCUCCGUGUCUCCCAGGGAGAGAGGGUGGAGAUGAGAGAGGCAGGCAGCCUUGGGGUAGCUGGGGUUUGGUGAACGUCGCGGGAAAUGCGCUCACCCACACUUCCCAGCCUCAUGACACCGGCAUGGCAGACUUGGUCCAACAAACUGGGCGUUCUGAAAUCACCCACUUUCUCACGGCCUCUCCUCAGAUGCUGGACAGACCGUGUCUUUUCCCAUCACCUGAGCAAGGAGACCCCGUGUGACAGAUAACAAAACAGCAGAGAAUUUGAAAAACCUGGGAGAGUACAAAUGAAAAUAAGAAAUCUUUCAGGCUCUCACAGCGCAAACCACGGCCGAGAGCUCGGCGUCGACUCUCGUCUUGAGUCUUUUUCUGGUGAAUAUAUGUAUUUUUCCGUAAUCGGAAGGACACGGUCCAUACACCUGUAAGCACCUUAACAAAAUAACUCUCUUUUUCUGGCUGUAAAGCGACACGCGUUAGUGCAGAAAAUUUGGACAAUUAAAAACAUACGAAGAAGAAAAUAAAAACAACCUGAUCCCACCGUGUGAGAUUAACAUUUUGGCAUUUUUCCUUCCUCUUGACACAAUUGAACAUCUGUUUGAAACAAAAUUGGGAUUAUAGUGUAAAUAUUGUUUUGCACCUUGCUCCUUUCAUGCAUGGCUGUGUUAUAAGUGUCCCCACAUCACUGAGGGUUCGUCUACUAUGUUGUUUGUAAUCACACAGCCCUGUAUUGGGGGGUUUGUGUUUUAUUUAACUUAUAUACUAUGAUUGGACAUUGAUGCUGUUUAUAUUUUCCAUCUCUUCCUUGCUUCCUUUUUCUUUUAUGGUGAAUAUCCUUGUAGCUAAACCUGUGUGCAUGUUCACGAAAAUGCCUUAUGACAAAUCCCCAGCUGUGGAAUUGCUAAGUCAAAGAAUGUAAUCACUAAUGCUUCUUGUACCCCUCUUUUUUACUUUAUGUGCUUUCCAAAUUUAAAAAGUAAUAAAUGAAUAUUUUAACAAGUGA
ensembl:lncRNA